rnacentral:rRNA from 1 species
UGGCGAACGGGUGAGUAACACGUGGGUAAUCUGCCCUGCACUCUGGGAUAAGCCUGGGAAACUGGGUCUAAUACUGGAUAUGACCUUUCUCCUUAUGGGGUUUGGUGGAAAGUUUUUCAGUGUAGGAUGAGCCCGCGGCCUAUCAGCUUGUUGGUGGGGUGAUGGCCUACCAAGGCGACGACGGGUAGCCGGCCUGAGAGGGUGAUCGGCCACAUUGGGACUGAGACACGGCCCAG